rnacentral:sRNA from 1 species
UUUGUUCCUGUACUCGAGCUCUAGGCUCGGU